AUGACUUUACUUGAACAGGAUCUGUUCUGUAGGAUUGUAUCUCGGAAUCUCGGAGCUGUAAGGAGCCAGGACCCAAAAUCUUGUAGAUGAACAAAAGCCUCUCUACCGUGAGCGUGAUUAGUGGCUCUGUGGUGCGACUUGCUGGUCCACUGUUACACAGGGGAUUGUUCUCAGCUAACCCUGUAAGGGUCAAGGGGUUGUCUGACAACUC